rnacentral:rRNA from 1 species
AAGUGGGGAUGACGUCAAGUCAUCAUGGCCCUUAUGUCCAGGGCGACACACGUGCUACAAUGGCCGGCACAACGGGAAGCGAGUUCGCGAGGACGAGCGGAUCCCUCAAAGCCGGUCGCAGUUCGGAUUGAAGUCUGCAACCCGACUUCAUGAAGCUGGAAUCGCUAGUAAUCGUGGAUCAGCCAAGCCGCGGUGAAUACGUUCCCGGGCCUU